rnacentral:rRNA from 1 species
AGCGAACGCUGGCGGCAGGCCUAACACAUGCAAGUCGAACGAACUCUUCGGAGUUAGUGGCGGACGGGUGUGUAACACGUGGGAACGUGCCUUUUGGUUCGGAAUACCUCAGGGAAACUUGUGCUAACACCGAAUGUGCCCUUCUGGGGAAAGAUUUAUCGCCAUUAGAGCGGCCCGCGUCUGAUUAGCUAGUUGGUGAGGUAACGGCUCACCAAGGCGACGAUCAGUAGCUGGUCUGAGAGGAUGACCAGCCACACUGGGACUGAGACACGGCCCAGACUCCUACGGGAGGCAGCAGUGGGGAAUCUUGCGCAAUGGGCGAAAGCCUGACGCAGCCAUGCCGGGUGAAUGAUGAAGGUCUUAGGAUUGUAAAAUUCUUUCACCGGGGACGAUAAUGACGGUACCCGGAGAAGAAGCCCCGGCUAACUUCGUA